CAGGGGUUUCACUUCAUUUUGUUUGAAGGGGCCAUUUAGAGAUUUAAGCAGGCCCAAGCCUAAAAGGGGGGGUUUGGGGGGGCUUGCCCCCCCAAGAUUUUUUUGAAAUUAGACGCAAAAUCCUGCAUUCUGGCGCAUUCUGGGCAUCAAAUUAUAGUUCUGAAAAUGUCACUUUCACCACUAGCCCCCCCAAGAUUUAAACAAAAAGGC
rnacentral:lncRNA from 1 species